UACGUAGGGGGCUAGCGUUGUUCGGAUUUACUGGGCGUAAAGCGCACGUAGGCGGAUCGUUAAGUCGGGGGUGAAAUCCUGGAGCUCAACUCCAGAACUGCCUUCGAUACUGGCGAGCUUGAGUCCGGAAGAGGUGAGUGGAACUCCUAGUGUAGAGGUGGAAUUCGUAGAUAUUAGGAAGAACACCAGUGGCGAAGGCGGCUCACUGGUCCGGUACUGACGCUGAGGUGCGAAAGCGUGGGGAGCAAACAGG
rnacentral:rRNA from 1 species